rnacentral:rRNA from 1 species
AGAGAGAGACAUGCGCGCAUAUCAAUAAGCGGAGGAAAAGAAACUAACAAGGAUUCCCUUAGUAACGGCGAGUGAAGCGGGAAGAGCUCAAAUUUGAAAUCUUCAAGGUUUUACCUUGACGAAUUGUAGUUUAAAGAAGUGCUUUCUGCUGAAGUUUUGGUAAAAGUUCUUUGGAAUAGGACAUCAUAGAGGGUGAGAAUCCCGUAUUUGACCAUUAUUUUCAGCUUUGUGAUACACUUUCAAAGAGUCGGAUUGUUUGGGAAUGCAGUCCAAAAUGGGUGGUAAAUUUCAUCCUAAAGCUAAAUAUUGGCGAGAGACCGACAGUGAACAAGUACCGUGAGGGAAAGACUGAAAAGAACUUUGAAAAGAGAGUUAAACAGUACGUGAAAUUGUCAAAAGGGAAGCGUUUGACACCAGUGUUGUUUUCUCGAAAAUCAAUUAAAAAUGGCUCGAUUUUGUAUUGUUGAGACCUUAAAAGCUCACUGUACAUUUUUCGUGUCUUUUUUAAUGCACUUUUCGUUUAACAAGUCAACAUCAGUUUCUUUUGUUGUAAAAGGGUCAUUGGAAGGUGGCUUUCUUUUCGGAGAAAGUGUUUAUAGCCUUUGGCCUCUGCAAUCGGAGAGACUGAGGUCUGCAGCGUAGACUCUUCGGGGUUAGAUACAUUUGUGCUAAGUUAUAGCUUUUUAUAGACAACUUGUUGACUAUAAUUAGUCUUGUAGCUUACUCGCUUAUGCUAUUUUACCUACGCUUAGGAUGUGAGUCGUAGAGCACGCAG